rnacentral:rRNA from 1 species
UGGGGAAUAUUGGACAAUGGGCGCAAGCCUGAUCCAGCAAUGCCGCGUGAGUGAUGAAGGCCUUAGGGUUGUAAAGCUCUUCUACCAGGGAUGAUAAUGACAGUACCUGGAGAAUAAGCUCCGGCUAACUCCGUGCCAGCAGCCGCGGUAAUACGGAGGGAGCUAGCGUUGUUCGGAAUUACUGGGCGUAAAGCGCACGUAGGCGGCUACUCAAGUCAGGGGUGAAAGCCCGGGGCUCAACCCCGGAACUGCCUUUGAAACUAGGUAGCUAGAAUCUUGGAGAGGUCAGUGGAAUUCCGAGUGUAGAGGUGAAAUUCGUAGAUAUUCGGAAGAACACCAGUGGCGAAGGCGACUGACUGGACAAGUAUUGACGCUGAGGUGCGAAAGCGUGGGGAGCAAACAG